CCUACGGGGGGCUGCAGUGGGGAAUAUUGGACAAUGGGCGAAAGCCUGAUCCAGCCAUGCCGCGUGUGUGAAGAAGGCCUUCGGGUUGUAAAGCACUUUCAGUGGGGAAGAAAGCCUUGGGGCUAAUACCCUCGAGGAAGGACAUCACCCACAGAAGAAGCACCGGCUAACUCCGUGCCAGCAGCCGCGGUAAUACGGAGGGUGCGAGCGUUAAUCGGAAUUACUGGGCGUAAAGCGCGCGUAGGCGGUCUGAUAAGCCGGUUGUGAAAGCCCCGGGCUCAACCUGGGAACGGCAUCCGGAACUGUCAGGCUAGAGUGCAGGAGAGGAAGGGAGAAUUCCCGGUGUAGCGGUGAAAUGCGUAGAGAUCGGGAGGAAUACCAGUGGCGAAGGCGGCCUUCUGGACUGACACUGACGCUGAGGUGCGAAAGCGUGGGUAGCAAACAGGAUUAGAUACCCUAGUAGUC
rnacentral:rRNA from 1 species